UCCCACUCUCUUACUCUGUAUCUCUCUCUAUACUCUCUCCUCGCCUCUCUCAAGUACGUUCUCAACGGCACCAGCAAAAUCCGCGACAGAGUCUUCAUCAAAUCUCUCUGUUGGUUUUCUCCCUUCAAAUAGUGGAAUGUAGGAGGGCCCUCAAUGUUUCCAGAGUUCUGGUAGUGCAACUAUGUUUUGAUGCUUUAUUUAAUCGUGCUUAUUGAAAAUACCAGUUUUGACCGAGCUUUUGCUUUCUUAUAUCUAUUGUCUAAUUACUUGGUUGGAUAAUGCAAAUAGAGAAUCUACAGUAAGAGCACUGUAAUGUAAAUAGAAAAUAUCAGUUGUGACCGAGCUUUUUUUAGACUGUUCUUGUUCCAUUUUUAAACAAAUGUACAUAGGAAUUUAUGUUGUACUUUCAUAUUGUUUUGGUAUUACUUGCUUGGAGUUCAAGCUUUUUUUCCUUUUUUUUUUGUUGUGUGUAUAUUUUUUUAAGUCUUUCUAUGUUCAUUUGGAUGUUUGAAAAAAGGAAACAGCUUCUUGCUUCUUCUUUUUUGUCCUACAAAAACUGUUUUGUCCUCUCUUCCCUAUACACAGACACACACACACUCUAUCUCUAUAUGUAUGGAUUUAUGUGUGUAUAUAUAUGUUUUUUGUGUGCGCGCGCGGUGUGUGUGUGUGUGUGUUCAAUUUGAGUGCUGAAAGCACAUGUUAAUUUGUCUGCAGCUACUUAGUGUCAAAAGCUUAGGAGAUAUUAAAUUUGAGUGACAUGGAACUUACAAUGGUAGUUGGACUGAACUAAUUUUAGAACUACAAAAAUAAGAGUAAACUUAUAUUGAGAUGGAAUCUCAAUCUUGUUGAACUAUAUGGGAGUUCACUCAAUUGACUAAAAGCUUUAAAUAUUUAAUGAGUAAGGUGCAAUAUUGCAGAGUUGUACUUCUUUUUCAAGGAUAAGAUUAAAAUAAAAUGUUAAGAAUUUGGUGAAUUAUGUCGAGGCAGAGAGACAAGAACAAUAAAAGGUAUUAUCUUUGUGUUUCUAUUGGUACUCUUUUCUUUCAUGUAAAAUGCAUUGUUGUAGUUUGGUUUAGAUGCUGAUACUUAAUAUACCUCAAGAAUAUAUACCCCUUUUGUCUUUGUGAUUGAUAUUAUUUACUUAAGUGUGUGCGGGAGAAACGAUAUGACAAUGAAAUAAAAGAUGUCGAGAAGGAGAAGAAAGCAAAAAAAAGGAUUGCAGAUUCAUUGUUUGAAGGUCGAGAAAAGAGGAAGAAGCUUGAUUGGAUAAGAGAAGAUGUGUGGAUAAUUUUUUUAGCAAUAUGGGAUAGUGAUGCAUUUAAGAAGAAGAGUGAACGAGCAAAGGCAGCCCGAGCCUCUCAAAAGGGUGGCUCGUUGCACUCCGGGGGAUCUAUGAGUUUUGUUGCGCAUCGACGGAGAUUGGAAAAGUUAAAAGGGGGACCAGUAUCUCAUGGAUAGAUAUCAUAGAAGUUUGGAUGAAUGGUGUCAGACGCAGCCUGCUUCUGAUGAUGGUACCCCAAUCCAACCAUCACCCGAUGAUAUGACUUCAAUAUGGGCAUAUGUGGCAGGUGGUGUAUCCAAAGGAAUAAUUUACGUGCUUGGAGUACAACGACCUUCCUCUUUUCGUCCAUCGCCAUUAUUUUCGGAUGCUCCUACUGCGCAAAAUCAGGAAGAAAUGGAAGCAAUGCGAAAGCAAAUUGAGUUGCUAUCGAAACGGUGUGAAACAACCGAAACUCACAUUGCUAGAGUGGAUAAAUACAUGAAAAGGCACAUGCCCCACUCUUAUGAUGAUGAAGAGACUGAAUCUGACGUGUAGUAGUGGUUUAUGGUUGAUUACUAUUCUUGAAUGUUUAGAUUUUAUAUUUAAAUUUUAUGGUAGAUUUGGAUGAUGUGGUAUAUAUGUUUAGACUUUAUUAUGUUAGUGUUGAUGUGUAUUAGCUACUUAGACUUGAUAUUGAAUAUUUAGACUUUAACUAAUGUUUUGGUUUGA